UACGUAGGGGGCAAGCGUUGUCCGGAUUUAUUGGGCGUAAAGAGCGUGUAGGCGGCCAGGUAGGUCCGUUGUGAAAACUCGAGGCUCAACCUCGAGACGUCGGCGGAAACCCUCUGGCUAGAGUCCGGAAGAGGAGAGUGGAAUUCCUGGUGUAGCGGUGAAAUGCGCAGAUAUCAGGAAGAACACCCGUGGCGAAGGCGGCUCUCUGGCCCGGUACUGACGCUGAGGCGCGAAAGCGUGGGGAGCAAACAGG
rnacentral:rRNA from 1 species